rnacentral:lncRNA from 1 species
GUACAAUACCAGACAAUACCACACAGUGUGGUGAUUUAGGGGCAAGAUAAGGCAGUGGAAGAAAAGAGCCCCCGGAAUGAGAUGUGUAUGAGUGCUCCAUCUGCAUGGAUCCCUGCAUGCUAGAUGAGGGCAGCUGAGCCCAUUACAGGUGACUGUGAGCUAUUAUGUGGUUUGCUGGGAAUUGAACUCAGGACCUCUGGAAGAGUAGCCAGUGCUCUUAACCACUGAGCAGCUCUGCAGCCCCCAAGAUGAGAUAUUGAAGACUGUAUUUGUGUGUCACAGAAGAAUAAGAAGAUAGAGACACAUAAAGGACAAAGCUAGUGACUCUUAAGACACCAGCAUUCAUGAGGGUGUUGCUGUGGUCAUGGUGUCUCUUUACAGCAAUAAAACUCUAAGACAGAUGGGAAGGAAGCCAUGCCCUGCUUCCCUGAACCCAUGAGCAGGAGCCACCUGUCUCACUGCAGAAAGCCCAGCAUCUAAGGCCUUGGACAAAGCACAGCAGAGAACCAUGGUGCUCCUGUUGAGGCAACAAAUGACCUACCAGCACUUGGAGAAUCAACUAGAGGAAGACAGCUGACUCUGAGACAGCUUCCUUGCAGAGCCCUUCCCAGCACUUCAUCUAUGUGUUUUUUCUGUUGCUAAUUUUUCAGUGAAGUUGGAAUUUUACUCCCCUUCCCCCAUUCAGCUGUUUCUCCUAGAUGAGCUUGAGAUCAGCAUUCCAGCCUGCUUCUUACCUACACAUACACCUGGCCUUCCCUACUGUGAGGGAUGCUUUCCAGAGGCAGGAAGAGUGUUCCUCUCAGCCCCUGACUCCAAGAACAUGAUGCAAGGCCACUUGUCCCUACAGAUGGCUUUUUAAAUCAGCCUUUCCUAAACAACAACAACAACAACAACAAAAUGGAGCUCUAAGAAGAUAAAUUGGCAGUGGUAUCACUUGUGAUGUUGCUUGUUGACUGGGUUAUUUCAAACCAACCCCCCAUCCA